UUGAGGGGUGUGAUUUUUAGGGUGGAGUUUAAGAUUUUUAAAAAUAAAUAAAUGAACACUAGUUUUAAAAAUAGUUUCAAUAAGAAUUUUGGGAUUUUAAAAUAGAUUUUUGAAAAACAAAAGAAUCUGAAAAUAUUUUUUUUUGAAAAGACAAUUAAAAAAGUUUGGAUUCAAAAACGUAUUAUUCAAAUAUAUAUUUAUUUUAUAUUGUUUUCUAUCAAAACCGUACUACUUUUUAUCAAAACCACAUUUUUUUUUAUUAUCAAAUCCGCACUUGUCCCGCAAACCGCAUGAACCGCAGUUGAACCGUACCUUAGUUCCGCACCGCUUAUAUUAUCAAAACCACGGUUACCAUUCGGACCCUGAGUAUUAGUUUCUAGCUUUCUCUUUCAUUUCAUUUUAAAAUAACACCAAAACUCUGAUAUAAUAAAGGUGC
rnacentral:lncRNA from 1 species